rnacentral:rRNA from 1 species
GAUCCUCGUGGCCGACCUUGGCGACGCCAUUACGACAAAGGCCACGAAGAACAAGGUGUACUUGACAGAGGCCAAGAAGCGGCUUUGCCAGGUUCGCCCUUCCUCUUCAAAGUAGGAAUACCCGCUGAACUUAAGCAUAUCAAUAAGCGGAGGAAAAGAAACCAACAGGGAUUGCCCCAGUAACGGCGAGGGAAGCGGCAACAGCUCAAAUUUGAAAUCUGGCCCCCCGGGGCCCGAGUUGUAAUUUGUAGAGGAUGCUUCUGGCGAGGCAACAGCUUAAGACUAUAUCUAGCGGUAUUAUAUAGGAAGAGUGCGAGUAAGAAGUCCUAGAAUAUUAGGUCUAGGUCGGACUGGUCGCUACGGCUUCACAGCGUACGGGAUAUGCCUGGCUGCAGCAGGGGGCCUCGUGCCCCGUUCCUGCGUGCCGGAUGGGUUCUGUGGGCGAUUGGCCGCUGGGCGGGUUCGCCGUAGACACAGAGCAGCAGGGGCCAACCACGGGCAGCUGACGCCGGAAUGGACGUGAAAUUGUUGAAAGGGAAGCGCUCGUGACCAGACGUGGGCCUCGGCGGAUCAUCCAGCGGUCUCCCGCUGGUGCACUCCGCCGGGCCCAGGCCAGCAUCAGUUUGCCCUGGGGGAUAAAGGCUCCGGGAACGUGGCUCCUCCGGGAGUGUUAUAGCCCGCCGCGCAAUACCCUGGGGCGGACUGAGGUUCGCGCAUCUUUUGCUAGGAUGCUGGCGUAAUGGUUAUCAGCGGCCCGUCUUGAAACACGGACCAAGGAGUCGUCUUCGUAUGCGAGUGUUCGGGUGUCAAACCCCUACGCGGAAUGAAAGUGAACGCAGGUGAGAGCCCUCUGGGCGCAUCAUCGACCGAUCCUGAUGUUCUCGGAUGGAUUUGAGUAAGAGCAUACGGGGCCGGACCCGAAAGAAGGUGAACUAUGCCUGUAUAGGGUGAAGCCAGAGGAAACUCUGGUGGAGGCUCGCAGCGGUUCUGACGUGCAAAUCGAUCGUCAAAUAUGGGCAUGGGGGCGAAAGACUAAUCGAACCUUCUAGUAGCUGGUUUCCGCCGAAGUUUCCCUCAGGAUAGCAGUGUUGAUCUCAGUUUUAUGAGGUAAAGCGAAUGAUUAGGGACCCGGGGGCGCUAUAUAGCCUUCAUCCAUUCUCAAACUUUAAAUAUGUAAGAAGCCCUUGUUACUUGACUGAACGUGGGCAUUCGAAUGUAUCAGCACUAGUGGGCCAUUUUUGGUAAGCAGAACUGGCGAUGCGGGAUGAACCGAACGCGAGGUUAAGGUGCCAGAGUAGACGCUCAUCAGACACCACAAAAGGUGUUAGUACAUCUUGACAGCAGGACGGUGGCCAUGGAAGUCGGAAUCCGCUAAGGACUGUGUAACAACUCACCUGCCGAAUGUACUAGCCCUGAAAAUGGAUGGCGCUCAAGCGUCUCACCCAUACCUCGCCCUCAGGGUAGAAACGAAGCCCUGAGGAGUAGGCGGACGUGGGGGUCAGUGACGAAGCCUAGGGCGUGAGCCCGGGUCGAACGGCCUCUAGUGCAGAUCUUGGUGGUAGUAGCAAAUACUUCAAUGAGAACUUGAAGGACCGAAGUGGGGAAAGGUUCCAUGUGAACAGCGGUUGGACGUGGGUUAGCCGAUCCUAAGCCAUAGGGAAGUUCCGUUUCAAAGGCGCACUCGUGCGCCGUCUGGCGAAAGGGGAGCCGGUUAACAUUCCGGCGCCUGGAUGUGGGUUUUGCGCGGCAACGCAACUGAACGCGGAGACGACGGCGGGGGCCCCGAGCAGAGUUCUCUUUUCUUCUUAACGGUCUCUCACCCUGAAAUCGGUUUGUCCGGAGCUAGGGUUUAACGGCCGGAAGAGCCCAGCACCUCUGCUGGGUUCGGUGCGCUCCCGACGUCCCUUGAAAAUCCGCGGGAGGGAAUAAUUCUCACGCCAGGUCGUACUCAUAACCGCAGCAGGUCUCCAAGGUGAACAGCCUCUGGUUGAUAGAACAAUGUAGAUAAGGGAAGUCGGCAAAAUAGAUCCGUAACUUCGGGAUAAGGAGUACCGCUCCCGACGUACCAUAUCUUGCACGGCGCCUAUAGGGGACUUCUCAAAAGAUCUUGCAGGCUUCCGUCUCGGUUGAGACAGAGUCAUAAUGGGCGCCAAACGUCCCCGAAACUGGUCGCUACGGCUUCACAGCGUACGGGAUAUGCCUGGCCGAACCUUCUAGUAGCUGGUUUCCGCCGAAGUUUCCCUCAGGAUAGCAGUGUUGAUCUCAGUUUUAUGAGGUAAAGCGAAUGAUUAGGGACCCGGGGGCGCUAUAUAGCCUUCAUCCAUUCUCAAACUUUAAAUAUGUAAGAAGCCCUUGUUACUUGACUGAACGUGGGCAUUCGAAUGUAUCAGCACUAGUGGGCCAUUUUUGGUAAGCAGAACUGGCGAUGCGGGAUGAACCGAACGCGAGGUUAAGGUGCCAGAGUAGACGCUCAUCAGACACCACAAAAGGUGUUAGUACAUCUUGACAGCAGGACGGUGGCCAUGGAAGUCGGAAUCCGCUAAGGACUGUGUAACAACUCACCUGCCGAAUGUACUAGCCCUGAAAAUGGAUGGCGCUCAAGCGUCUCACCCAUACCUCGCCCUCAGGGUAGAAACGAAGCCCUGAGGAGUAGGCGGACGUGGGGGUCAGUGACGAAGCCUAGGGCGUGAGCCCGGGUCGAACGGCCUCUAGUGCAGAUCUUGGUGGUAGUAGCAAAUACUUCAAUGAGAACUUGAAGGACCGAAGUGGGGAAAGGUUCCAUGUGAACAGCGGUUGGACGUGGGUUAGCCGAUCCUAAGCCAUAGGGAAGUUCCGUUUCAAAGGCGCACUCGUGCGCCGUCU